rnacentral:rRNA from 1 species
GGCCUUUACUGACGCUAAAGCUCGAAGGUGCGGGUAUCGAACAGGAUUAGAUACCCUGGUAGUCCGCACGGUAAACGAUGGAUGCCCGCUGUUUGCGAUAUACUGUGAGCGGCCAAGAGAAAUCGUUAAGCAUCCCACCUGGGGAGUACGCCGGCAACGGUGAAACUCAAAGGAAUUGACGGGGGCCCGCACAAGCGGAGGAACAUGUGGUUUAAUUCGAUGAUACGCGAGGAACCUUACCCGGGCUUGAACUGCCAGUGAACGAUACAGAGAUGUUGAGGCCCUUCGGGGCACUGGUGGAGGUGCUGCAUGGUUGUCGUCAGCUCGUGCCGUGAGGUGUCGGCUUAAGUGCCAUAACGAGCGCAACCCUUUUCAUUAGUUGCCAUCAGGUAAUGCUGGGCACUCUGGUGAUACUGCCACCGUAAGGUGUGAGGAAGGUGGGGAUGACGUCAAAUCAGCACGGCCCUUACGUCCGGGGCUACACACGUGUUACAAUGGGUGGUACAGAGAGUCGGAUCAACGCAAGUUGUUUCUAAUCCUAAAAGCCAUCCUCAGUUCGGAUUGGGGUCUGCAACCCGACCCCAUGAAGCUGGAUUCGCUA